rnacentral:lncRNA from 1 species
GGAGACCUCUACGGCUGGCCGAUCGGCCGCAUCAUUGGAGACCGACUAGGCUCAUUUCGUCGGGGCCAAGAGCCACGGUCGCAUCGAGCCAUAAGGUCGAUGCAUCGCACGGGAGGGAGCCGCGCACUGCAUCCAUCGUCAUCGACAGCAACGCCGGGAAGUGGCUUCACUAUGGACGAAGGUGGUGUUGCGCCGGUGCGGCGGGGCGGACGGGCGCGGGACACAGAUAAGAUUGCCCAAUUUCUUAUCCCAUGUGUGCGUCGUGGCAAUUGGUAACUAAUGUCGUUGUGCAGUGCUUACUUCGUGCAGAAACGAAAUCAGAAUUGAAUCACCUGAUUGAUGUAUCAAUUAAGAUACAGAGUUGGUCUUUGCAUCUGAUUUCUUUCCAGAUCGAAAGACUCGUCUUACCUGAACCGUGAGCGCCUCGUGAUGAUG